rnacentral:misc_RNA from 1 species
GUGAAUCAUUAAAUUUUUGAACGCAAAUUGCGCUUCUUAGCAUCCCGGGAAGUAUGCCUGUAUGAGGGUAAGUAUCAACAAAAAAACUGGAUUGGUUGCAGAUUGUGACGUUUCCGGAGUAUGGGCUAUUUUAACUUUUUUGGUUAAUGGGUUUAUAAUUGACCUUUUUUGCGCAUUUUUAGACGUAAAUAAUUUUUUUUUUUAUUCGUCUAUUCUUAAUGCCAAAAUCUUAUUAGAUGCGAUCACAUCGUGC